AAUAACUCUAUUUUUCAGUAUUUUCAUACAAUAUUUUGACUUUUUAUCUUAUUUAAAAUUUUUUGUGAUUAAUAUUUUUAUUGGCACUAGAUAAUAAAUAUAAAUAAUAUUUUAUACGUGACUAUUUUUUAAAGUUUUUUAUAAAUUUUUUAAAUAAGAUGAAUGGUCAAACGUUGGACACGGGAAAAC
rnacentral:pre_miRNA from 1 species